AUGUCUACUCGCUGGCGGCGACCGGGGAUGUUCUUUACAUCGGAACCUGGCGGUGUUGGCGUGCGUGAGGGCGAGCUCGAGGAGCAGCGAGGCGCCGGGGAAUCGGGCGCGGCCACGGUGCCGCGCAUGGAGGAGUCCAGGUGCCGGGCGCGUCCAUGGUCACCGGGACCUGGCGGUGGGCAUGAUGGCAGAGGAAGCUCCAGCGCACUCAACGUGUUUGACGAAAUGAGAAGCCAAACCUGGUGGCUGCAACUAAUCAAAUUGACAUCUUUUAGCCCCGUUUUCCCUCACCCAGAACCUGCUUAG
rnacentral:rRNA from 1 species